CUUGUCUUUGAGCAGUGUCUGCGAUACAGAUCUAGUAAAGAAGAAAAGGAAGUCAUCACUUUCCUACUUGUGAAAAGUAUUCCUCUAUUUUCACACACUCUUCAGUAUCGAAGUCUCAGCAACAAUGA